GGGGAUAUAGCUCAGCUGGGAGAGCGCCUGCCUUGCAAGCAGGAGGUCGCCGGUUCGAACCCGACUAUCUCCACCA
rnacentral:tRNA from 9 species